AGAGUUUGAUCCUGGCUCAGAGCGAACGCUGGCGGCAGGCUUAACACAUGCAAGUCGAGCGGGCGUAGCAAUACGUCAGCGGCAGACGGGUGAGUAACACGUGGGAACGUACCUUUUGGUUCGGAACAACACAGGGAAACUUGUGCUAAUACCGGAUAAGCCCUUACGGGGAAAGAUUUAUCGCCGAAAGAUCGGCCCGCGUCUGAUUAGCUAGUUGGUGAGGUAAUGGCUCACCAAGGCGACGAUCAGUAGCUGGUCUGAGAGGAUGAUCAGCCACAUUGGGACUGAGACACGGCCCAAACUCCUACGGGAGGCAGCAGUGGGGAAUAUUGGACAAUGGGCGCAAGCCUGAUCCAGCCAUGCCGCGUGAGUGAUGAAGGCCCUAGGGUUGUAAGCUCUUUGUGCAGGAGGAUAUGACGGUACGCAGAAUAAGCCCGG
rnacentral:rRNA from 1 species